rnacentral:snRNA from 1 species
GUGCUCGCUUCUGCAGCACGUAUACUAAAAUUGGAACGAUACAGAGAAGAUUAGCGCGGCCCCUGCGCAAGGAUGACAUGCAAAUUCGUGAAGCGUUCCACAUUAAA